UCCGCUGUGUAAGGACCAGUGUUAGAAACAUAUUUUCUGGCUGGAGCAGGGUCUGGUUGGGUGAGAGACCACCAGCUAAAGCUAAGAAAGUGUUAUUUCAUGUAGGUAUCAAGGUAGGUCUCGAGGUAGGUCUGAAAGUAAACCAGGUGGAUUGGGAGGGGAAUCUGAGCCGAGGGGCUAGGGGACGAAGGGCACAGAACUGAGAAAGCCCAUGGGGCUUUCAGGGAGAAUCUGAGUGAGUCCAUGCAGCUAGAUGAAUAAAAACAGAUUCAGAUACCUUCAGAAUAGAUCUUCUCAGACAGGUGCACCUGUGUUCUCGCACUUAAGUCCAGAAAGCAUCUACUGUCAAUUGAUUCAUUUAAUAUUUGGUGGUGGUUUUGUACUGUGAAUGUCUGCUGUAAUACUGACUGGCUUAAUUAUAACUUGGAAGUUAAUUGAAGAAUUUGAAAUUUGUCUUUGUGAAUCUGUGGCUUCUAAUUUUAUUCUGGAACACCUAGACCAAAAACUAUACUUGCCAAGAUGUUUAAAGGAUAACAAGUAAGAUUCAUUCAGGGAUUUCAACAUGCCAGGUACUGUUCUAAAUGCCUUAUGUACGUUUAUUCAUUGAAUGCUCACAACAGCUCCAUGAGGACUUGGAGAAAUGAGUGGUUGAAAAGGCUGCCCGUGGUCACACGGUAGUAAGUGGUAGAAGCAGGAUUUGAACCCCAGGCAUUUGGCUCCACGACUGGCACUCUUCAGCUCUACCUUCUAAUGCCUCUUAAUUAAGAUACGGUUUUAGUGCUCCUGUUUUCUGUGAAGACCAGUUAGGUCAAAAGAAACUGCAGCACAUUUUUCUUUGUUAUGUAAAAGAGAAAAAGCCCCCAUAGCACUCCAGUUUUAUGAAAGGAUACCUGAGAGACGUAACUUCUGUAACAAUUUAGAACAUACUUAGAGCCCGCUCUCCAGCCCUUUCAUAACAAGGGCAAGUACAGAUCCCAAGUAGAGGUGACAUCUACUAGUAACUCCUUUCUUUUUUGUUUUUGUUUCCAACCUUAUCUCCCAAACCGAGCUCGUCUAUCUAGAAGGCGGUUCCUUUCCCGUCAUCCCUCUUUGCCCCAGAGGCACCUGCCCACUCUCAUCAGGCUUGAAGCCCAGCUGUCCUCUUGUGCUCUUCCUCCCUUGGAGCGUUUACCGAGGUCCUUCCUCCUGUGGAUGCUGGGCACUCGGGAUAAAACAAUAAGAAGAUUUACGUACUGCCUUUGAGAUGCUCAGAAUCUCCGAGAUGUCAGAAGCCAGACACAGAAAUGAUUUCAGUAGGAAGAGAUCAACUGUAUUCUUGAGGUCAUCCUCUUCCCAGGCCACCUGUCCUCGCUGUCCAUGACCAUUCAUCUUUCAGAGAUGCGGGUCUUCCCCAUCGUCCCAUGUUCAGAAUCCUCGCCCGUUUCCUGUAAGCUGAAGUCUGGAGUCCCCCGUUGGCAUUUAGACCCUGGCCACCCCAUUUCCACCUUGCUUCUCCUGUACUCCCUGGCGGGAACUGCCAGCAGCAGCCGGGCUGGCCUCCUUUGCCCCUGCAGUCAUCCUGCCAGCAGCCCACGGAGUCCCCUUUCCAGACGCCUUGGUCCUUUUCCUCUGCCUCUCCAGCUUCUGCUCAUCUCGUCAGUAUUGUGUUCAGGGCUGGCCUCUUCUCGGGGAGGCUUUGCCAGCCUCUACCGGUCUCUCCGUCCUGCACAUCCUUAAGAGCACUUGUGCGUGUGCUUGGGAGCUCACCGUCCCGUCUCACCUUGUAGAGAGGAGAGAGCACGAGCUUUACAUCAUCAGAUGGUCCUGGACGAGACGAUCUGUCUACUCCUGGACGAGCCUUCUGCCGUGAACGAGUUUCUUAACCGCUCUGAGUCUCAGACGCCUCGUUGCACAGCAGCCACGAGGCUGUGAGGUGCCACGCGUGGUGACUUGACCCACGGGCAGAAGAGUUCACCUUUAAGUUCAGAGCGGUAAAUUCACUGGUAAAGUGUAAUGAAAGAACUGGAAGUGGAAGGGCACGAUCUUGACACAGGGGUCACUAGUGAUAGUCCAGUGCGUGUGGCCCCUCCGUGUUACCUACCCCACCAUUAGAAUGAGAGGUUCGUGCUCUCAUGGAAUUUGCAUUAGGACCAAAGAGGUUCUGUCAAACAGCUGGUUGUAUAUGUGUUAUGUAAUUGCGGUGUAAUUCUUUUCUGACCAUUCUGCAUAAGUAGAUUUUCACCCAGCAAGGCCUACGCUGACUUUCAGUUCUCAGCUUAAACGUCACUGAAACUCUCCUUGCUUCCUCAGCCUCCUGGUGUCCAUCUAUCCAACAACUCGUGGUGCACAUAUUACUUAUUUUAGCCAUUGCUCUUUCCAGACACUACUCUGUUCCAGGCAGGGUGUCCAUAUGCCCUGGGCUUCUUCCAUGGUCUGUGUUGUUUCCCUUUCAGUGUGGUUGCUUGUGUGAUCGCUGGCUUCCCCUCUCACCUCUGAGCCAAGCCCAUUUCCGUCUUGUUCAGUGCCCCCCGGUGCCUGGCAUGGAGGGGCGCUCAGCACAGAUUUGUUAACGAGGAAUCGAACGAAGGCCAGGAUGGAGGCUGUACCAUUGAAAGCACUGCCUAGACUUUGUGCGUAAUUGACUGUGGGAGAUGCUACAAAGGCGAGUCCUGGGCUUGGGGUGUGGCUGGUAGGGAGAUGGGGGAUGGUCACCAUCAUCAAUAGAGAAGUCAGGAAAUGAAACUGGUUUCGGUGGGAGAAUGGUCAACUCGAUUAGACUGAUUUAUUAUAGUGGGGUGGUCAAGUGGAAUUGUUUAUUGGCGAUGUUGCACUCAGAAGGUCGGUGUACACAUGGUGUAUUUUGGAGUUCUCUUUGGAACUGAUCAUGGACACCCUGGGCCUUUGUGGAUGGUCAGGGAAGAGUGGAGCACAAGCUUGGUGCCUGGGAGGGGAGGAACAUACAGGGACUAAACAUCACAUUAACCAAGUGUUCCACUGCCACACAGAUGAAUUGGAUCCAAGCCUUCCCUCCUGAGUUAAAGAACAACUAACUGGUCACCAUCUUCCAUGAAAUAAUCUUCCUUCUACCUAAGAAAUGUUCUAUGUUGUAUUUUGGGCAUCAUAAAAUUUAACCAUUCAUUUCAACAUGUAUUUAUUGAGUACCUGCUGUGUAGCAGGUACUUCUCCAGGUGCAGGGAGUGCAAUAAUAAAAUGUAAUCCUUGACUUUAUGAUGGUGAGAAUUAUACAAAAACCAAGUUUAUAUGUAUCAAACGGUGAUAAUUGCUCUAGAGAAAAAUAAAGUAGAAGAAUAAUUUAGGUGCACAGUCCUUUACUCAAAAUCCUUGAGACAAGAUGUAUUUGGAGCAUGGGAACAUAAUAUGACACAUACACCAUCUAUUAACAUCCUUAGUGGUGUUACAAGUAGCCUCAUGUUAGCUUAGGUCAACUUUUGUCACCUAAUGAGUUAACAGAAUUAAGUUUUGCUAUUAAAUAUAAUAAGUUAGGUAAUAGCUUAAUUUCCAAGUUGGUUUCAGUUGUUUCGGUUGUUUUAGAUUUUCAGAGCUAACAUGUAGUGCUUACGCUAAGUUCCAGGCGUUCUUCUAAAAGCACAGUCCAUACACACACAUACAUUCAUGUAAUCCUCGUAACAACCCUACAACAGAGCUGUUAGUCCCGUUUACAGAUAGGAGAACUGAAGCACAGAGAGGGUCAACAGGCGCCCAGGAACCCGGUAACAUCCUCAGGCACUAUGCUAUCCCUGUGUCAGGAAGGGAGGCUGCUCAUGAAUAGGAUGGUCAGGGAGGGCCUCAGUGACGUGGUGACAUUUAAGCAGAGACCUGAAAGAAGCGAGGGAGCCGUGUGGAUGGAGAGCUGGGGGAAAGCGUUCUGGGCAGAGAGGCGGAGUUGGGGAUAUUCUGGUUUGUGAUUGAGAAACCAAGUGGGUAUUGCUGGAGUGAGUGGGAUUCGAGGGCCUGGGAGGUCAGAGCAGUAACUGGCAUUUUGGUCAAGAUAAUCCUUUGUUGUGCAGGAUUGUCCUGUGCGUUAUAGGGUGUUUAGUAACCUGGGCCUCGCAUACGAACCGCCAUGUCACGGUGAAAGCCAUCCAGAUGCCCCAUGCCUUUCUAAAUAUCCCCUAGAUUGUCUCUCCUGGUGGAUGAUAUUGUCGUCUUUGAGAAUAAAUUCAGAACUCUGUGAACAACUGA